UGUUAAAAAUUUCAUCCAUAUCUACCAUUAAAAAAUGGCAUGACUAACAAAAUAAUCAAAUAGUGACAAGUGGUGUGCCACGUGUACCUUAUGCUGAUAUAUAGGGACCAGUUUUUAACAAUAGAAGUGAAUGAAACA
rfam:Gossypium arboreum cultivar AKA8401 contig_7909_5, whole genome shotgun sequence.